rnacentral:rRNA from 1 species
CGGUGAAUACGUUCCCGGGUCUUGUACACACCGCCCGGUCACACCAUGGAAGUCGGUUCUGCCUUAAGCCGGCCCUUAAAAAGCGUCCACGGCAGGGUCGAUGACUGGGGUG